ACCUACAUACCUAUCUACAGCAAGGGCGGAUGAGGAAGGGAUACAGUGGCGGCUGGCGCUACCUUGCCGUCGACGACGACCCAGCAGUCGUCGGGCGUGUUGUGGAGGGCAGCCUCCUUCAUGCUGUACAGCUUUGUCAGCGUCGGCAUCUACGUCCCCUCGCGACUCCUCCCUGUAUCAACCUAAUCGAAUCGGCGGUGACAAGGAGGCGGCGACUAUAUUAUAUGAGGGGCCGGGGCAACGACCGCCGCGGCUUGCCGGGGAGGAAGAGACUGCAGCAGCCUACACGGCUCGGGUCUUGGGAUCCUCGCCUGUGUUGCUAUCUUGUAGCGGAAGAAGAACAUGUUUGGAGGCGGAGGGGUGGGGGUGCUACAGGGUACUUGCCGUCUGCUUUGGUGGUCUUCUUGGGCUGCUAGGGUUAUUUUUUCCCUCACGGCCCAUGGGCUGAUUAGAAAUCGUCUUUAGACAUACCGUGUUGGAGGCCUGAAACAUCUAUCUAGCAGCACUUGAUCAGCAAUUAAUAAUAGACAAUGAGUAUAGAACUGUACCAAGAAACCCUGAGAUUUAAAAAGUGAUUGAUAUACGUCUCGUUAUUGAUGGGUAUAGACACCUACCUCUAAAAGAAAUAGACAUUUACCUAAUAAAUCAUCUUAGGUAAGAAUUGUACCAUGGUGAUUUAUUGCUUCGUUAUUGAUGGGUAUAGAACUGUACUAGGAUGCGGUUUUUUUUUGAGAAGGAUAAGAGGGCUGUUGGAGUAACAAAAAUCAGUUUUGACAUAAAUUUACAUCUUCUUUUGGAGUUUCUCUAACAGACUUAUUUUUCACUAAUGUUUAAUAUUUCUUCAUUGUAUAUCCGUAUAUAUUUGCUGCUGGUUAUGGUUAUGAGCCAGGAAGGUGUCAGCGUCCACGAAUACAAUACAACUUAAGUAUUCAUGCAAUAGAUAACAUUUGGAGCUAGUUUGAUAACUCCAUUUUUCUAAGUGAUUAAUAUUUUCACAAUGAAAAAUAAAUUAAUUUUUCUUGAUAAAAUAGAAAUCUUUUACGUCUUGUUUGGAUCAUUGGAAUUGAAUUCCAUUAUAAUAAUAGUAAUUUAGACAUAUAUCAAUUAAACUAAUUCAAUUUUAUGCAAAAUAUAUCAAUAUACUAUUAUUAGCAAGAUGUAGGAGAUGUUUAUUUGCUUUAUUUUUACUAUAAAGAAGUGAGUCGAAGAUCAUCUUGCAAGUUACAGAGUAGAAACAAAUUCUAGUAAUACAUAAAAUCAUUUCUCAUCCUCUACCCACAAAUUUGAGAUAAGUUUAUAUCAGAAUUUUGAAAAUAAUGGAAUAUGAAAUCUCAAGCUAAAUAGGUUACUUUAUUAAGUGAAAUUUCAAUUCCUCUAAAAUAAAAAGAUCUAAACGUCUCGUUAGAAAAAAAUAUGGUUAUCAAACUAGUUUAUCCGCCAUUCUGACUUGGCGUUAUGGCAGUUAGCACGUAUGAGCCGAUACGAAUAACUUUUUUUACGGCAUGGUGGCUGGUGGGUGGGGGCUGAGUGUGCCUUUGCCAAAUGGCGAGUGGGUCGGACUGGGCUGGGGCAGUGCCGCAGUGGGGUGGGGGCGUGGCCAGUGGCCACUAGCCACUGCCGCUCCAGCGCCAGCGCCUCCUCGAAGCCAAUUCCGAUGCAUCCGCCUGCCACGACGCCACGUUUCGAGCUCGCGGUGGCGCCGGCCGCCGAGCACGGUGCGCGGCCACCGAAGGCACAAGGAACGGGAGGCACGGCAAGGACGCCCGGCGCUUGCCGCGAGCGAGGCAGGACACUCGCUGUCGCGCGCGCUCCGCAGCGGCCCAGCCUGCAAAGCAUGGCGCUGCAGCAGCGAUGGACGUUCGAUACGACUGAUGACGGAUGGACGGCGACGCGGCCGUGCUCUGCGCCUUGCCUGUCUCGUCGGGCUACGGCCGGAAUUGUGCCCGGCCGCUCCCGCGCCUAGGCCCGGCAUCAUGUCUCUCCGACGCUCCUCCCUACCGGCCCGGCCGGUGCCGGCGAAACGCAAACUAAAAUCAUGGCCGCCUUUUCUUCAGGUCUCCUCUGCUCUACGCGCGUACGUACGUAAUAAAUAUGGCUCCGGCGGGCUUCCUCUGCUGAAUCCUUUCUUUUGUUUCUGACUUUUCUCACAAUGGUUUCGCUUUCUCUGCAGGCUCUAGCGGUCCAGCCUCUAGUGCCGUGGCCUAUACGUACCUUUUGUCUAGUGUCAUCACUGGUAGGGAACUAGACGUACAAACAAGUACCACCUCUCACGUUCACUUGAAUUACUGUUUCACUUUACGCUGAUGCACCCGUGUACUCUCUCUCUCUCCCACAAUCAGGGUACUUUGGGAGACCCAAAACUGGAGGAAUUAGAGGGCCUAAUAUCACCUCCUUAUUUAAUUUUAAAUAAGAAGAGAAUUUUAACCUCUCUAAUCCCCUCCGAUUUUUGGACUCUCAAACUAGCCCUGACUGUUUGAAUUUAACUAAUUUACAAAAAUAUAUUAGUAAUAUCUAUAUCUUAAAAUAAAUUUAUAAUGAAACAACUUUAAUAAUAUAUCUAAUAAUUUAAAUUACAAAACAUUAAUGUUAAUAUCUUUCACAUGUUUGAUUAAAAUUAAAACAUUUUACUCCUCAUAAAUAUUUUUUUACGGAGGUAGCAGCGCACGCUCACACGUAGACCAACUGAAUAGUAAUGCACAUUUAGGCUAAAAAAACUAGAGAAAUACAGUACUUUAGGGCUAGUUUGACAACUAUAUUUUUCUAAAGUAUUCUCAUUUUUUCAAGGGAAAAUAGACUAAUUUAUCUUUAGAAAAUAUUUUUUUAAAAAAGUGGGGUUGCCAAACUAACCCUUAUGCGACAAUUUAAACUUUUUUAGAAGGGGCGGAACACUGGAUUUAACUAGAGUAGAGCAUGUAUAACUCCAUUAAUUAUGUUGAGUGGGCUCUAAAAGGAUACGUUAAAAAAGAAUCAAUAGACGCGGGGGGAGGCUACGUACGGCCCCCAGCUGUUAUCAUUGACGAUCCGGCUUGUUCGCUGGAUUUAACUAGAGUAGGCAGCUUGUUCGCUGCGGCUUGCUGCGGCUGCAAUCCGGCUGCGGCUGCGGCUUCUACAGUAUUUUUCUCUCUAUGGAUUGCAGCUGCAGCAGUCCAAACAGCUGCAACAGUGUCGGCUUGCAGCCAACCGAACACGCCCGUGGUCCGUGGCUAGCCUGGCGGCCUGGGCCAGGCGUGGCCUACUCCUGUAGAGGAGUUGCGCUCACUGUGUCCUCCCCUCCUCCACCCUGACACGGCGGGAGGCCGCGUGGGACGUCGGUCACGUGAGAGGGUCAGAGGGGACGACGAGUCGACGACCCGCCGGGCCGAUACAUGGGCCCUCGACGCGACGUGCAUGCACUGUGCUCGCUCUACGUAUGCUUCGUUCCACUUCCACCAGCCGCGUCCAAUCCCGCCAGUGCCCAGCGCGUAACAAGUGCCGCGACGAGCCACACCCACACGUACGGUCGUACACUACGUACGGCGCGCACGUGUGUCAGAUGGACUGGCUCGGCUGGAGCGACGCAACCCGAGGCGGAAGGAACCACCGAACGCCGCGCUGCCUCGCCCAUGCCGACCGCCCGGUCGGGUGACGCCGUGACGGUGGUGGCGGGGUUCGGUUCCGUUCCUUCUCGCGACUGUGCCGCCGGCAUGCUGGGCCGCCGAGUUGCGUGAGCGCAGGGGCUCUCUGCUGUGGUGGUGUGGCUUAAUUUCGGGCAUUUCGGGCGGCACCAACGCGGGCUCGACACGUCCUCAUUAAAUUCGGGCCCUGUGCGUGCCUGUGCGCGCGCAGCAGCGAGCGACCCGGAUAUCUGCCUCGGAUUCGCCGCCUCGCCUCUCUCUCUCUCCGGCCGAUCCCCAAUUGUGCCCGUCCCUCGCGCCGCUGCCGAGCUUUUUGGCUACUGCUACUGGGCUCGCCGCGCUCAUCAGGGCAAACGCAUACUACGCUACAAGUGAAGUGAGUGAUCGAUGACGACGGUAGCUAGCUAGUUUGGUGCGGUUCUCGUCGGACUAUGGGCUGUUUGGUUCAGCUUUUUUCUGACCAGCUUUUCUGAGAAUCUGGCUGUGGAAAGAAUCUGGCUGUGUAGAGAAUCUGAGUAUCAUUAUGAUUACGUGCGGAGGAAGAUAAAGGUGUCCAUAGGACUGAGGAUCUAGAAAGUGACGGAUUUCUACUAUUGCAACAACUCAACCGAUUAUGUGUUUAUGUUGAUGUUGAAUGGUUUUUAACCAAACGAAUUUUAUAGAAGCUGACUGAAAAGCUAAGCGUUUGGCAGUCCGCAGCAGUUUUUGGUGGCCAGAAGCUCCAAAAAGCUGAAACAAACAGGGCUUUAUUUGGUGCUUCACCGCCGGAGCCAGGCUAGCUAUACACUUUGUAGUUGUUUGUAGGGGUAUAUAGGAGCAGUAUCUACAGUAGCAGCACUCUUCACCGGUCCAGCUAGUAAAUGCGGUAUCUGUCGUCUGUCGAGCUAACCUAUCAUAUCAGCGCCAUGCGCCCCGGCCGGUCGUAACCUAGCUAGGAGUAGCUAGCUAGGACUAGCUAGCUAGGAGCCUAAGCGCCCAGCCCAGUGGGUGGUAGCCUACCAAGGGUGAGGAAGAGGAGCUGAGCUAGGACCGCGAGGCGAGCGAGAUCCAAUCUGCACCCCACGAACGAAAAGAUUCUUCCCCGCCGGCGUCGCUCUCUCAUCCGUCGACGUCUCGCUCCUUCCUUCCUCUCUCUCUCUCUCUCUCUCUCUCUCUCUCUCUCUCUCUUUCUCUCUCUCAGCCAGCAGCAAGCAUAUAGCCCAGCACCACCACAUGCCCAAGGGCCCUCCCUCUCCCUCGUCGUCGGGCCAAUUGAGUGUGAGAGCUCGAAAAAACCCAGGGGAUCGGCCGGACCAGCAGCGAGCGAGCGCGAGCUCUGCGUGCGUGUGUGUGUCUGCGCGCUAGAUUAGAUCACCUCCAUCGUCAAUAAUUGCAGGCAGAUCCAUAUAGUCUGCUGGUGGCGAGACAAAGCAACGGAUCGUCGUCGAUCCGGAGAGCGGAAAGCGCGCAGAUCGCGGCGGCCAUGGGGCGCGGGAAGGUGGUGCUGCAGCGGAUCGAGAACAAGAUCAGCCGCCAGGUCACCUUCGCCAAGCGCCGGAACGGCCUGCUCAAGAAGGCGUACGAGCUCUCCAUCCUCUGCGACGCCGAGGUCGCGCUCGUCCUCUUCUCCCACGCCGGCCGCCUCUACCAGUUCUCAUCCUCCUCCGAGUAAUCAAACCAAACAACCCUAUAUAUUACACAUAUAUAUUCGCUUCAGUCAUUCCCCUCUCUUUUUUUUUGUUACCUAAUUCUUCCUAGCUACUACUACUCACGCGCGCGUCCUUGCAUGAACUCAUGACGAGGUGGCGCUCUUUAAUUUGCUGGUUUCCCUUUUUUUUCCUCUCUCUCUUUUCUUUUCUGUUCUAUUGGGCAACGACUCCAACUGGUUCAGUACUCAUCUCUUCAGAUGCAUGGUUGCAUAGAAAGCCUACAAACGGACGGGGGGCCGGGGAAAAGCGAGCAGGGAGGUCGAUACAUGUAUGCGUAUACAUACGGUGUACGUCUGCGUGUGUCGCUCAUGGGAAGAAAAAAAACAGUAGAGCUUCAUUUGAUGUGCACCUCAUGAGUACCGCCUGGCCCGCAAAUGUACCAGUAGUAUUCGUGAUAUGCGUAGUACACGCUUAGCCUGGAUCCAACGUGCUAGCUAGCUGUGUUUUGGCAUGAUUCGACUAGAACAUGAACAUGGGCUUCCUGCAGACAUGUUAUUAGUGGAUGGUCUUAAGUUCUUAACAUAUGCAUGCGCUUUUAGUUUGUGAGUUCUAAUUCGGCAAGUACUUCUUUCUGUAAUUCUAUGUACGGUUAACUUUGUUGUUUGGAUAUAACAUCAUAUCUAGAUAGUGGGCAAACAUAUAUAUAGAACGUACAUGAAUUUGGUCUUAACAUGUCCAUGCACUUUUCCCAAUACAUUGCUUAUUGUAAACAUCUUUUUUUAUAUAAUCAACAAUGGAUAAUAUUAAUUCUUUUAUGAGCUCAGAGUUGUGAUAUAUACAUUUUGUGAUUUCUAGUACUACUCUCUUCUAACAUUAUAUGUGUUACUAUAAAUCUCAUUGUUCCAAAGAAAGACCCUAUUAUUACAACAAUGAUGUACGUUGAGAAAUGUAUGCAUUCUGCCAGUUUUUUACUCUGUGCAAAAACAAAGAGAUCUACUCUUAAAACGCAUCGCCUAAUUACAUGUAGCAGCUUCAUAUUAUGGGGAAGUUGCUCUAAAACCAUAUGAGCUAGCCGUGCAUGUCUUUAACCGGUCAAGAUUAAUAAGGGUGUAUCUGGAUGAUAGAAUCAGUUUUGUUUCUUAAUUGCUAGAAUCGGCAGAAUCUGUGCGAAAAAACGAUGUAGCUAAAAAACAUUUCUAUGUGAAUUAGGGAGAAACGUUUAAGCCUUCUGAACUAGAGAUGAAGAGAUAAACGAAGCUGUUUUGCCUGAUUUUAGUUUCCUAAUCCUAAUGUAGCUAACUAGCCAAACGGUUCAAUGAGGUGAUUCUGAUUCACUAAAGAAACAUUUCAGAAUCUGAAUCCGGAACAUUUUUAUAAGAAUCUAGAACCUAACAAACACACCCUAAUCCGGAACAUUUCACAAUAUUUUAUUAAAUUACCUUUUGAGACUAAUCUUAGUAUUUGGUCGUAUUGUUUUCAAACUAAAUAUUAAAGACUUUCCUGAUAGUCAAACUUGUAAAAGUUUGAUCUAAACCUUGUCCAAAACAAAAAAAAAGUAUUGUGAACUAAAGAGAGAGUACUUAGUGAACCAUGAAAUGUGACAAGUAGCCCUCUAAAACUACGUCACUAGAUUUGACACUAGUAGGUGCUAUAGUCAACUUGUGAUGUGUUCUUUCGUGAAUCAAUAACUUUGGGUGCUUUUCAUUGACUCUCAAGUUUCACUAAUAUACAAUAUACUGAUCCAUACCAUGAUAAGUACUUUUGUUGCAUUUUUUUGACUUAUGCCAUAUGUUGGGAAAACAGUGAUCAAAUAUAUGUAUGGUAGACUACGCCAAUGUCAUACAUGAACAACAAAACCAUACUUGGUCCCAAUGGCUCUGUGGUCAUUUUAGUGCUCACAUUUUUACCUAUAUUUUUAUUGAAACUAACACUUUCUUUAUAAAAAAUUAAAAUAAUCUCCAUAUAUAGUGGUCUAAUCCAUGCAUAGUGCAAGCUCCAAACCAUAUAACUUCACUUGCCUUCUCUAGUCUUAUAUAAACAACUGAGAUAAGCUUGUAAAUUCGGCAUAGGAAUUUAUUAGUAUGAUGAGUGUCGCCGAUGCUUACAGAUUCCAUUGAAUCAAUUUUCUUAGAGGCACGUAACCUCCAAUCAAGCAAAAAGGAAAAACAAUCAAAUUAUUUAAUUAGAAAGGAAUAACGAACGUGCAGAAAUAAUGUUUUCCUUUUGCUAGAUGCAUUAUCUAGCUGGCAUGGUUUCUAUAGCCUCUUCAUGAGUUUUUGUUUCUAUCAUGUGUAUCUCUCUCUCUCUAUAUAUAUCACUUAUUCAUUAUUUUAUUGCCUUAAUACCAGUCUGCUUAAGACUCUAGAGCGGUACCAGAGGCACAUCUAUGCUUCAGCUGAUGCUGCAGUGCCAUCUAGCGAUGAGAUGCAGGUGCGCGGACUAUCGAUUUUACUACUAUUAUUGCAACAUUUUAAUAUAGGUGGUACUACUUUUUUUUUAUCAUGUGUAACAUUAUACAGGUUCUGAAACUGUACAUAUCAGGUUAAUAAUUUAUUCAAACUCGAUCACUUGUCACCAGCUAAUAAUGCCCUUCACAAUAACAAAACUAUAAGUUUAUGUUUAUUUUCUUAUUAUUUAUCAUUGAUUUGUUCUGAAAACACUUGAUCACCAAGCCGUGCAUUUGUAUUUCAGUAUUUUAUUUCUGAAGCAAUGAUUUCCAUCAAAACAAAUUCAGUAUAAGUCUAAGUGCUAGUGAAAAUUCUUGCUCAAUUUGGUUGUACAAGAGCUACUGUUAGUUUAGGCGCCUUUUGCUCCAAUACUUAGGAUGACACCGUCAAAUGCGCAACAAAACUGCUGUGGCUUUAAUUCAUAUAAUAGUCUUCUUGAAGAUCAACCAUUGCAGUGACGAACUGACGAUCGUGAAAUUUUGUGUUUAUAUAUUUAGUUGUUGCUGAAUCUGAGUAGUUUCAGUUUUGUUUGGAUUCUGGACAGCAGGUCUAGAAGACUAGAACAAUAUCCUCACAAACACAAUGAACCAUGAGAAACAUUGAAAUAAAUUGCAAUACUUGCUAUAGCAGUUGAAGAAAAAAAAAAGAGCGUGUACUGUAUCAGUCAUCAAGUGUUAGGUGCACUGGCCUAGCUAGUUCAUCAGUUUUAUGGUAGCCCGCCAUAAAAAAAAUGAAAUGUUUCUUCAUCCAUGUUAUCCAUGUCGUUAACGUUACUUUAAAUUAUCCAGUAGUUAUUUACCUAGUUGCAAAUGCAAUGAAGCAUUCAACAUGUUCAUGGCCAAUAAUUACCUGGCUGGCUAUAUAUGCUUACCAAAUUUCAAAAUAUUUUUCCAGCAUAGAUGGCCAAUGCCGUGAUGCUAUCAACAAGCCAGUGACAUGCAAUUGUCGGAGUUACAGUACUUGCUUUAUGAUCUACUAGACCUUACUGCAUGUAUUUAACCAAUAAGAACAAUAUAUGGUACUAGAUUAAUAAAAUCUACAUAUUUUAAUGACAAUAUUACAGACUGUGCAUUUUUAUAUACAAGUAAACAUCAUCAUUACAUGCAUGCAAUCCAUUUGUUAAAACACUAACCACUAUGUUUUAUAAAAAUGAUUUUUAUCAUCAAUAUUGCAUAACAAAAACUAUUAGGACAUCUUGGCAAUGCAGAAAUUCACAUGAAUCAGUUUAUUUUCAUAGAAAAAAUACAGGUAACAAAGGGGAAAAAUCCUACAAUCCAAAUGAGACCUUAUAUGUUCUCAUGCAUAAGUUUGCUAUCAUACACUAUAACCAUAAAAGGAUCAUGGUAGAAUAUGUUCUCAUGCAUAUGUUCACAUGAAAGGAUUGUUAUAAAUUAAAGAGAGUAGAUGUGGAGACUUUUGGGACCUCUCCAUCCAAUACCUGAUAUCUGAAAAUGCAGAAUAACUAUCAAGAAUAUGUGAAGCUGAAAGCACGAGUUGAGGUUUUACAACACUCGCAAAGGUACGACAUUUACAUAACUACAUAAGUUCGUUUCUAUUUUUCCUCUUUGUGAUUCUACUCCAAAUUUUGCUUUGUUUUGGUAAAGAAAGUGCUGGUGAACCCACUGCAGGAAUCUUCUUGGUGAAGAACUGGCUCCACUUAGCCCAAGUGAACUUGACCAGCUUGAGAGUCAAGUAGACAAGACCUUGAAGCAAAUAAGAUCAAGAAAGGUAAACUGAUUAAAUGGGAAGUGAUUCAAGGUGAAAUGUUGUCAAUAGUAUUUUGUGCACAACAGAAUUUUAGUGAACAACAUUUUAUAAUCCAUGACGUGGCACUUUCCUUCCUUAUAUCUGAACCAAUCCAUGAUAUAUUGCAAUUUGACUUGCAUUGACUAUUCAUUCAAUUAAUGACUUGCACUUGGAAGGAUAAAGGGUGCGGUGGGAAAAUGUUGAUUCGUGCUACUUUCAUUUAAGUUAAAAUUUGAAACAAUGUAGAAACAAAAGCGUUGAGGCGUAUACAAUUCAGGAGACGCUAGUACUUAACCGGUAUUUAAAACUUAGAUUGCAGAUACUUAAUGAUGCUACAAUCUACCAUUUUUGUAACCUUGUAUCAAAAAGCCAUUUCUAUUUUCUUCUGUACUAUACUACUAUUACAUGAAAUUUGGAAUGCUUCGCCAUGUUGCUAUCCAAGUGACACUCUUCUAUGCAUGUUUUCAUUUGCAUUUGGCAGACUCAGGUGUUACUUGAUGAACUUUGCGACUUAAAGAGAAAGGUAAUACCACAGCAAUGUUACUAUGGCUCUCCGUUUCCAUACUGAAAUCCAAGAUAUGCCUGACCAUCUGGCACUCAUUUCCUGCAGGAACAAAUGCUGCAAGACGCUAACAGGGUUCUGAAAAGGAAGGUAAGUGACAGUUGAACUGGGAAACUCAUAGCACGCACGGUUGGCACUGGCAGUAGUAGCUCAUGCAAACAGUGGCUCUCCGGCUACCUCUGCGUUUGCUGACACACCUUUGAAGCUGAACCGGUGUUGUCAUUUGUAUAUAGUGCAGUUCAUAGAUGCAGCCUCUGUUUGCAGCAUUCCAACUCUCUUGAAUUUUUUGCCGGGUCGUUUAUUGUUGUGCUGCUAUUGUUUCAGCUGCACGAGUUUGAGGCAGAGGCUGCUUCUCCCCCACAAUUGGCGUGGCAAGGCGGAGGCGGCAUGUUGUCCCAUGACCCUCCACAGCCAGAACACUUCUUCGUGGCUCUGGAGAGCAACGCGCCUCUGCAACCUACGUAAUUCCUCUCUCUCUCUCUCUCACGCGCACGCACAGUUGUCUCUGUGUCCUGAAUGCUGCACUACUUCCGUUAUUGCAGAUACCAUACUAUGGACAUGAACCAGCAGCCAGAGCCAGCGCCGGGCGGCUGCUACCCUCCUGCGUGGAUGGCUUAGCCAGCGCUUUGGUUCCAUUGCCUUGACAAGUGCCGUGUCCUUCAGAGAUCGCUACGAGUCCUGCUGCUGCUUUUGCGAACCCCCCCUUUGCUGCCUGCCAUGCUUACCGAACUGUUCAAAUAAGAAAUAACCACAUGGUCCUAUAUAGGUUGCUGUUGUCUUUAUCUUCUGUUGAUCACGUCCUGCUCAGAUGCUUUAAACGCUAUGCAAAAUGGCUUAGCGAUGCAUGCUGGAAUGGGCUGAACUGCUUGUGUUUUGGGAGUAUAAAUCGCUUGGGCGCUUGGCAAU
rnacentral:lncRNA from 1 species